rnacentral:rRNA from 1 species
CCUACGGUGUGCAGCAGUGAGGAAUAUUGGUCAAUGGUCGGGAGACUGAACCAGCCAAGCCGCGUGAGGGAGGAAGGUACAGAGUAUCGUAAACCUCUUUUGUCAGGGAACAAAGACUGGGACGCGUCCCCGGAUGAGUGUACCUGAAGAAAAAGCAUCGGCUAACUCCGUGCCAGCAGCCGCGGUAAUCCGGAGGAUGCGCGCGUUAUCGGGAUUUAUUGGGUGUAAGGGGGGCGCAGGCGGUCUGUUAAGUCAGCGGUAAAAGCCCGGGGCUCAACCCGGGCCCGCCGUUGAGACUGGCAGUCUCGAGUUGGAGAGAAGUAUGCGGAAUGCGCGGUGUAGCGGUGAAAUGCAUAGAUAUCGCGCAGAACUCCGAUUGCGAAGGCAGCAUGCCGGCUCCACACUGACGCUGAGGCACGAAAGCGUGGGUAUCGAACAGGAUUAGAUACCCCAGUAGUC